rnacentral:ncRNA from 1 species
GCAUGAUAUGAAAGGAGAGAAGGUUAGCACUCCCCUUGAUAAGGAUGGAAGAGGCCCUUGUGGUCUUUGCAAUAUGCAUAUGGUUAAGGCGCUGCCACUUAUGUCGUGGCAUCUAACCAGUUUUUUAG